UUUAACACGUGGGGACACCUGCAUCUGGUUUACGACGAAGGGUAUUUUGGUAAAUAAUACCAACAUCAAGGGUAUUUUCGUAACUUAACACCUACCAUCAAUAAUCAAGCAGACAGCUGAGGAUGGAAAGUUCAAUGCUGUGAUCUCUUCAUCUUCGUCGAUCAUUCAUGGCCGCCGUUGAAGAGUAACGCUUAUGGAGAGGUUUGUUACGAGCUUAUCAUCAUGAAACCUAACUCAUCUCUAUCUUGGGGUUGAGUUUGGACUGAUUUCACCUAAGACAUCACAACGUCAUACAAUGUCAUGAAAUAGAUACCUCAUGAAGACUUCUUCAACUCCUUCUUCACAGAUCUAGCUUUGUUUCACUGAGCUAAGCCAUUCUUUUUCCCUUCCUUUCUGAACUGAUAUCUAAUAGAGUUAAGGUUGACCUGAUCUUUAUUGUCCCAACAGGUUGAGCUCGAUAACCUAAAUGAUUCCCUAUAAAGCCAACAAAUACUCGAAUUUGCCUACCAUUCAAUUGGGUAAACCUUACCAUAAGUAGCUAAACUCAAUUUACUGCUGAAGCUUUCCGAACUUUGAAAGUUUAUUUUACAGGGGUGUUUAGUGUAAUUUACCCUUUUAUUAAUGCAGUAGAUUCUAAUUUGAAUGAUCAAACUAGAGUAGAUAGCCAUGUAUUUACGAGUUUUGCAGUCUUCAAGAGUUCGUUAAGCAUGAACGUAUAGGUUCGGAUUUCAUAAUUAUGUGCAUCUAUUCGCCUGUAACAACUAAAAAGUUAGCCUCAGUGUCUCAUUGCUGAAUGUACAUUUUAAAAGUUACACCUUUGAUUUGAGCAUAAAUGAAAUCGUUCUGGUGGUGUUUCAAAGUUUUUUUAGUUGAUGCCUCAUUAAUCCAGUUGCCAGAUAAUUUUAAUUGCUGGACAGUCUGUAAAGAGCUUUCUAUUGCUGAACUGUCUCUAAAUAGCUUAAGCAUCUCCAAUGUCUUCCGGAGCUUGCGUUAUACUACAGAAUUUUAUAUUUUCUUCUCCUUUUAAGAAACCAUAUUAUCAUCUCUCAUGCUCUCUCCAAAUAAUCAAAUUAUGGCCUUCCUUACUUGAUUCUCAAUUCAAUUCGCAGGUUCCUUCGGGACGUCGGCAUGACUGAUGCAACUCAAUUGACUUGUACAGGAGUAGUGUUGCUGCUACUAGCUCGGCUGUUAUUGGUGGUGGUGGUAAAGAAGGGAAGAUGGAGUUGCUGCUGGUGUUGUUUCUAUUGCAGCAGCUACAACAGCCUCAUCUGGUGGCGGAAAGGAUGAGCACAUGGCGAAAACUGAUAUGGCUAUGGUUCUGCUUCAACAUUGGUAGCAAUACAGUGUGUUGAAGCUAUUGAGGCUAUGGGAGUUGAGCGCGAGCAUCUUACAUCAGUGGUAGUGAUGAUUAUGACAGAAUUACCAAGGUCAUUAUUGUUUCUGAGUCCAAAAUAGAGACUGAUCAAGAGCAAGAAAAUGAAGUACGAACGAAAGAAGAGCGUUGCGCGGAGACUCCAACCCCACCUCUCACUCUUGACGUUUUGGUAAGGACUUCUUUACCUAAUUUGGUAGUAUAUAACUUCUAAAUGGAAAAUGAGAUGUCGUAAUAGUGAAGCAUAGUUACUUAAUUGGGAUAACUUGAGGUUCCUACUGUCAAACAAGUGCACAGAGACAAAUGUACUCAUUAAGCCUACAAUAAUUGAUAAUUUUGUUCUUUUGGCACAUUUUUUUCCGGAAGCUUUGUAUUUUGGUUUUGUUAGACGAAGAGAGCUUAUGAAAAAUGAGGGCAUAAGGUGCUUUUCUUUGGACAAGUUAAAGAAAAGGUUGAUGUGCUCUUUUUUAGUUCCACUGCUGUACUCUGAUUGUUUCUAACCUAUUAAUACUUCCCAGGAUAUAAUGUUGUACAAUAUCUGCUGCGGUCUUUUUUCUCUCCUUUGAUUUCCUGAUUCAAGUAAUUCUAUUUAGUGAUUUGAUUGAUGUUGGAUUCAAAUUUUUGUGGUUUAGCAAAUGGUUGAUACCUUGCAGGCUAAUGCCGAUUUUCUUUUCAAUCAACUUUGAUAGCAUUGGUAAGUAUGAUAUCCAAGAACUACUGAAGCUGCUUCACCUUUUUCACUGAUAAAGACUUCAGCAAAUAUAUUUUCAGUAUAUCAAAUGUAUUAUUAUUUCAUUAUGUCUUCCCGAUUGCAUUUCUCUACAUUUUCUGCAGGAUAUCAAUUGGUGGGACUAAUAUCUAAUUCCUACUACUUUAUCUCAUUCAGAUUGUGAGACAAAUAUAUUUGUCGUAUGAAGUUUGGAAUGGGCAAAGAAACUCAUGUUACUUUAUAACGUUAUCUGGACAACACCCACAUUCUUGAAUGGACGGAAUGGAGGCACUAGAUGGAGGGGAAGUAUAGAGAGUUUUACAAUGUAAGUCACCCUUGCAAAAA